GCCGCGUGCAGGAUGAAGGCCUUCGGGUUGUAAACUGCUUUUGUACGGAACGAAACGGUGAGCUCUAAUACAGUUUGCUAAUGACGGUACCGUAAGAAUAAGCACCGGCUAACUACGUGCCAGCAGCCGCGGUAAUACGUAGGGUGCGAGCGUUAAUCGGAAUUACUGGGCGUAAAGCGUGCGCAGGCGGUGAUGUAAGACAGAUGUGAAAUCCCCGGGCUCAACCUGGGACCUGCAUUUGUGACUGCAUCGCUGGAGUACGGUAGAGGGGGAUGGAAUUCCGCGUGUAGCAGUGAAAUGCGUAUAUCUGCGGAGGAACACCGAUGGCGAAGGCAAUCCCCUGGACCUGUACUGACGCUCAUGCACGAAAGCGUGGGGAGCAAACAGGAUUACAUACCCUGGUAGUCCACGCCCUAAACGAUGUCCACUGGUUGUUGGGUCUUCACUGACUCAUUAACGAACCUGACGCGUGAAGUUGACCGCCUGGGGAGUACGGCCGCAAGGUUGAAACUCACAGGAAUUGACGGGGACCCGCACAAUCGGUGGAUGAUGUGGUUUAAUUCCAUGCAACGCGAAGAACCUUACCCACCUUUGACAUGUACAGAAGUUGCUAGAGAUAG
rnacentral:rRNA from 1 species